AGUAUAUAUAUAUGUAUGUGUGUGUGUGUGUGUGUGUGUGUGUAUAUAUAUAUAUAUAUACACACACACACACACACACACACACAUAUACACACA
rnacentral:miRNA from 1 species